UUCUCAGUUAUGCGACUUGGAAUCUGGUGAAGAAAAUGUUUUUAAAACCAAGGACGAUGCACAUCAAAUGGACACUUGCAUACAAGUUGUGAUUCAGAGACAGAAACAACAGUUAUCAGUGGAGCUAAGCAAAAUUGAUGCUCGAAUCAUGCGGAAUGUAACUGUGCAUCAGUUGGAGCUCAAACUUCAGCCUGUUUCUGCCCAUGAUUAUCGGUUGAUAUUCUUACCUUUAGUGAAGUCAUACAUGGGGGCACACUUGGAGGAUUUAGCUGAGAAGGAUGCGACAGAGAAGUCUGACGCUGCAAGAGAAGCAUUUUUAGCAGAACUGGCACUUGAUUCUAAGAAGAGUGCUCGAGGAGGAAGUGAUAAUUUGAGAAAUAUACCGGACAAGUCAAAGGAUAAGAAAAAAAACAGAGAAUACAAAAAAACCAAAGAUUCAAAGGCUACCUUUGGCAAUGAGCAGCACUUGCUUCACAAAGAGACUGCUGAGCAAAGUUCCUUUCCAGUUGCAUCUGGUGGUGAUCACCCAGAUUCUGAGAUUUUUCUUUCGAUGAAUGGUGAAGACUUGAAACAACAGGAGGAGGAGGAGGAGUUCAGACUUAAAAUUGAACUUGAAGAAGAGGAAAGAAAACUAGAAGAAACUCUCGAGUAUCAAAGACGAAUUGAGAAUGAGGCUAAAAUGAAGCACCUUGCUGAGCAACAAUAUAAGAAAUCCAAUCAAACAUUGCCAGAAAAGGUGGCUGGUGGACUGCAUGAUAAUAAUAUGGAAUUUGAUGCUUAUGAUGUACAUGAGCCAUUAGAACAUUUGACAUUGAAGAAUGGGUUUCCCAAUGAUAUGGAAGUCAUGCCUAUGGUUAAUGGUGCUGCAAUACCAGUCAAAUCUUUGAUAUCCGGUACCCAAAUGAUUAAUGGUACUCAUAACACAGAAGUAAACCAAGGGCCAUCUAGUGGAGGAACUGUAGAUGACAGUCUUUUGCCUUCUGACCGGCGGCCAGGAAGGAAAGGUAGGCGGCAGAAGAGUAUCACUAGAUCUUUUUAUGGNNNNNNNCAACCAGUUUCAUCAGAAAAUAACAAUGUUGAAGUUGGAAGUGUUAAUCCUUACAUAGGGGACAAUGGAACUAAGACGCUGAGACAAUUACAGGCAGAGGAGGAUGAUGAGGAAAGGUUCCAAGCAGAUCUAAAAAAGGCUGUACGCCAAAGCCUUGACACAUUUCAAGCGCAUCAGAAAUCACCCUUGAUUUCAACUUCAAGGAUGUCCCAAAAUAUAUCUCUGGAAGUUAACAGUGCUGGUGUUUCACCGGCUGAAGUUGCAAUUGAAAAUGUGAACAAAACUGAUGUGGUUGGCACAGGCCUGCAGAAUGAUGUUGGUGAAUACAAUUGUUUUCUGAAUGUUAUUAUACAGUCCUUAUGGCAUUUAAGACGGUU
rnacentral:misc_RNA from 1 species